AUAAUGAGCGAGAUAGUAGUUUUGUCACAGGAAAUUGCGAUAUGUUCGAAUAUUUUAUGAACUUGUUGCCGUUUCCUACGUGCAAAAUUCGAAUCAAUGCUU